rnacentral:sRNA from 1 species
GUUUGGAAGUACAGACCUAUUUAUGUCAGUCCGAUUUUAAGUUGUUCUCCGUCAAGCGUUAUCCAAGAUACCACUUCAUAGCGAAUUCCUUCUGAUAGUUCCCAUAGGUAAAACGUAAUCAAACCGCUCAUAUGCCUUAUGGCAACAAAAUUAAUUUAAAGGAAAUUCAUAUGUCCGCAACAAUUACCGGUACUGUAAAAUGGUUUAACGAUGAUAAAGGUUUUGGCUUUAUCACUCCUGCUGACGGCAGCAAAGACGUGUUUGUUCACUUCUCUGCAAUUCAGAGUGACAACUUCAAAUCUCUGGCAGAAGGCCAGCAGGUUUCUUUCACCAUCGAAAAUGGUAUGAAAGGCCCGGCUGCGGCUAACGUGGUUGCACUGUAAUCACCACUGCACAGUAACAGAUUUUAAAAACCUCACUCCGGUGAGGUU